UGGGGGAUAUUGCACAAUGGGGGAAACCCUGAUGCAGCGACGCCGCGUGGGCGAAGAAGUAUUUCGGUAUGUAAAGCCCUAUCAGCAGGGAAGAAGAAAUGACGGUACCUGAGUAAGAAGCACCGGCUAAAUACGUGCC
rnacentral:rRNA from 1 species